rnacentral:rRNA from 1 species
UACGAAGGGGGCAAGCGUUGUUCGGAAUUACUGGGCGUAAAGGGCGCGUAGGCGGUGCACUAAGUCAGGCGUGAAAGCCCUGGGCUCAACCCGGGAAUUGCGCUUGAUACUGGUGCGCUUGAAUCCAGGAGAGGUUGGUGGAAUUCCCAGUGUGAGAGGUGAAAUUCGUAGAUAUUGGGAAGAACACCGGUGGCGAAGGCGGGGUCGUCUAGGGCCGAUGACCGUAACGCUGGAGGAGCGAAAGCGUGGGGAGCGAACAGG